AAACUCUAGCCCUGGUUUUUACUGCUUCUAUUUCUAUCUUCUCCCUGGCCCAUAGUGCUUUAUUUAUGGAGACUACUAUGCUGGUAGCCCACAGCCUAAGUCUUGCCCAGGUGUUUUCUGAAGAGUUGCCCUCUCUAGAUGUAGAUAGGGAUAGGGGUCUGUAAGAUGAGAAGUCACCAUCUGGAUGUCUUAAAAAAAUAUCAUGAUCUCAGUGAAUGACAAGCUGCUGCCUUUCUGACUGAUGAUAGCAUCUAUGUAUUCAUCAAUGGAGCAUCAAGUGGUGGAGAAGAUGCAGAAGUUCUUCUACGAUCUUGAUGGACAGUUUAGUUUUCUUUCCUCCUUGACCACAUUGCACAACGGGUCCCCUCCUGUGGUGUGAGGCCCAUGAAUCUGGGCCUUGUGCCAAAAAGACGAAAGUAUGAAAAUGAAUAAAAUGUCCUGGAUAAAAUGCUUGGGUCUAGAGAGAGUGAGAAGCGAAGAUGACAGAAAUGCAAGAAGCGGCACAGAGUGGGUGUGUGGGGCUUGGUACACUGCACGGAUGCUUUUGAUGUUGUCACACAGGUAUGUUCCUUGUAUUCCUGAUCUCUCCAAGACCUUUAUCAUGAAGGGGUGUUGUAACUAAACAAGUGAAAGACCUGUAUGACAAGAACUUAAAGUUCCGAAGAAAGAAAUUGAAGAAGAUAUCAGAAAAUGGAAAGAUCUCCCAUGCUCAUGGAUUGAUAGGAUUAACAUAGUAAAAAUGACAAUUUACCAAAGGCAAUGUAUAGAUUAAAUACAAUCCCCAUUAAAAUCCCAACACAAUUCUUCACAGACCUGGAAAGAACAAUACUCAACUUCAUAUGGAAAAACAGAAACCUAGGAUAGCUAAAAGAAUCCUGUACAACAAAGCCACCUCUGGAGGCAUCACCAUCCCUGACAUGAAGCUCUACUAUAGAGCCAUAGUAAUUAAAACAGCUUGGUACUGGCAUAAAAACCAACAUAUGGACUAAUGGAAACGAAUUGAAGACCCCGACAUUAACUCACACACCUAUGAACACCCGAUUUUUGACAAGGAAGCCAAAACUGUACAAUGGAAAAAAGAAAGCAUCUUCAACAAAUGGUGCUGGCAUAACUGGAUGUCAACAUGUAGAAGAUUGCAAAUAGAUCCAUAUCUUUCACCAUGCACAAAACUCAAAUCCAAGUGGAUCAAAGACCUCAAUAUAAAACCAAUUACACUGAAUCUGAUAGAAGAGAAAGUAGGAGGUAGUCUUGAAUGCAUUGGCACAGGAGACCAGGUCCUAAAUAUAAUACCAGUAGCACAGACACUGAGAGCAACAAUUAAUAAAUGGGACCUUCUAAAACUGAGAAGCUUCUGUAAAGCAAAGGACACAGUAAACAAGACAAAAUGACAGCCUACAGAAUGGGAAAAGAUUUUCACCAACCCCACAUCUAACAGAGGGCUGGUAUCCAGAAUAUAUAAAGAACUCAAUAAACUAGACAUCAAAAUAAUGAACAAUUCAAUUUAAAAAUGGGUUACAGAACUAAACUGAGAAUUCUCAAAGGAAGAAUUUCAAAUGGCUGAAAGACAUUUAAAGAAUUGCUCAGCAUCUUUAAUCAUCAGGGAGAUGCAAAUCAAAAUGACUCUGAGAUACUGUCUUACACCUGUCAGAAUGGCUAAGAUCAAAAGCACUGCAGACAGUUUAUGUUGGAGAGGAUGUGGAGCAAGGGAAACACUCCUCCACUGUUAAUGGGGCUGAAAACUUGUAUGGCCACUUUGAAAAUCAGUGUGAAGGUUUCUCAGAAAAUUGGAAAUCAAUCUUCCUGAAGACCCAGCUAUACCACUCUUGGGCAUAUACUCAAUCAUACCACAGGAACACAUGCUCAACUAUGUUCAUAUCAGCAUUAUUCAACUCACUGAACCUGGAAACAACCUAGAUGGCCCUCAACUGAAGAAUGGAUUAAGAAAAUGUGGUACAUAUACACAAUGGAGUACUACUCAGCAGAGAAAAACAAUGACAUCAUGAAAUUUGCAGGCAAAUGAAUGGAACUAGAAAAUAUCAUCCUGAGUGAGGUAACCCAGACUCAGAAAGACAAACAUGGUAUGUAUCCACUCAUAAGUGGAUACUAGAUGUAAAGCAAAGGAUAACCAGACAACAACCCACAACUCCAGAGAAGCUAGCUAACAAAGAAGACCCAAAGAGGGAUGGAUAGAUCACCCUGGGAAGAGGAAAUAGAUGAGAUCCCCAUGAGUACACUGGGAAUGAGGGGUGGGCAAUGGAGGAUAGGCGAUAGGGGAUGAGAACAUAAGGGAAUGGGAUAGUCAAGCUGGAACAGGGAUGGAGUGGGAAAGCAAUGAAAGAGAUACCAUGAUAGAGGGAGAUAUCAUGGGGAUAGAGAGAAACCCUAUGCUCGGGAAGUUGCCAGGAAUCCCCAAGGAUGACCCCAGCUUGUACUACGAGAAAUAGUGGAGAGGGUGCCUGAACUGAACUGGCUUACCCCAGUGAUCAGACCAGUGAAUACUCUAACUGUAAUCACAGAGCUUUUCUCCAAUGACUGAUGGAAGCAGAUGCAGAGAUCCACAGUCAAACAUCCAGCAGAGCUCUAGGAGUCCAGUCAAAGAGAGAGAAGAGGGAUUCUAUGAGCAAGUGCAUCAAGAUCAUGAUGGGGAAACCUGCAGAGAUGACCAAACCAAGCUAGUGGGAACUCAUGAAAGUUGGAUCAACAACUGUGGAGGCCUCAUGGGACUGGACUAGGUCCUUUGCAUGGUGAGACAGUUGUAUAGCUUGGUCUGCUUGGGGGGCCCCCUGGCAGUAGGAUCAGAAUCCAUCCCUGAUGCAUGAGCGGGCUUUUUGGACCCACUACCUAUGAUGGGACACCUGGUGCAGCCUUGAUGCAGGGGGAAGGGCUUGGACUUGCCUCUACUGGAAGUGCCUCUGCAUGAGAGGCCUUG